UACGUAGGGAGCGAGCGUUGUCCGGAAUUACUGGGCGUAAAGGGCGCGUAGGCGGCCGAUUAAGUUAGAUGUGAAAAACCGGGGCUCAACUCCGGGAUGGCAUUUAAGACUGGUCGGCUUGAGGGUGAGAGAGGAAAGUGGAAUUCCUAGUGUAGCGGUGAAAUGCGUAGAUAUUAGGAGGAACACCAGUGGCGAAGGCGACUUUCUGGCUCAUACCUGACGCUGAGGCGCGAAAGCGUGGGGAGCAAAC
rnacentral:rRNA from 2 species